AGCGGCGGACGGGUGAGUAACGCGUGGGUAACCUGCCUCAUACAGGGGGGUAACAGUUAGAAAUGACUGCUAAUACCGCAUAAGACCACGGUACCGCAUGGUACAGUGGUAAAACUCCGGUGGUAUGAGAUGGACCCGCGUCUGAUUAGGUAGUUGGUGGGGUAACGGCCUACCAAGCCGACGAUCAGUAGCCGACCUGAGAGGGUGACCGGCCACAUUGGGACUGAGACACGGCCCAG
rnacentral:rRNA from 1 species